UACGAAGGGGGCUAGCGUUGCUCGGAAUCACUGGGCGUAAAGGGUGCGUAGGCGGGUCUUUUAAGUCAGGGGUGAAAUCCUGGAGCUCAACUCCAGAACUGCCUUUGAUACUGAGGAUCUUGAGUUCGGGAGAGGUGAGUGGAACUGCGAGUGUAGAGGUGAAAUUCGUAGAUAUUCGCAAGAACACCAGUGGCGAAGGCGGCUCACUGGCCCGAUACUGACGCUGAGGCGCGAAAGCUAGGGGAGCAAACA
rnacentral:rRNA from 1 species